CUUCCAGAACGGGAUGCUGGAGCCGUGGCUGGAGAGCAAGGGCCUGGCGGGCGCCAACCAGGUGCUCGCCUACUUCGCGGUGUCCAGGCUCGGCGAGCCCCCCGUCGACGGCAUCACCGCCGCCAACCCCGAGGGCCUCACCGCCGCCUUCGGCGCCUGGGCCCCCGCUGUCGCCGCCCGCCUCCAGAACGGCGGGCUCACCUGCAAGGUGAUUUCAUCACCCAUAUCGACUCAGUGAUCGUGCAGUUCGUCAGUGUAGAAUGCCUCACAACUCUCUGGGUCAGUGUGCUCGUGGAUAGACUUGGGGGCUGCGGACCUCUUCUGCUGUUUGUGUUUGCUGCGCACAAAUGGUACACCAACAAAACAAGAUUGAUAAAAGCAGAAGAAGCUUUCCUAUCAUCCGAUCCGACGGGGAAAAGGUUUGUGCUGCAAAACAGAAAUUGACGGUUACUCAGGCUCUGCUUGAUGUGAAGUGGAUGAACUGGAAGAUGCAUCCCGAUCAAUUCAUUGUGCUUUGGAAUCUUGUCCUGAAGAUUGACUUGGUUGGGGCCAUAUCUGAAGAUACUACAAUUCUCAUUUGUGAAAAAUCCUCAGGUGCUUGAGAAGGGAGCCUUUGAGAAGCAAAUGCUAGAGAAGCUGAUUUGGAUUUCAGCUUUCAUGCUCGUUGGAGCUCGUCAUCCUGGGGCUACAGUUGGUGCGGUUGAAAAAGAAUACUGUUCUGAGGUAUCCAGCCUCAUAGUUGAAUUAGCAUCUGUCGCGGCUGUAGAGCGGGGGCUUUCUUUCGACGAGGGCAUGGAAGAGAGGCUCUGCGCCUACUCCAGAGCGGUGGCACACUAUCCAACCGCCGUGAAAGAGUUCAAGUGGAGGAAUGGUUGGUUCUACUCGCUCACCGAAAAGGCCCUCACGGAAGGAAAGCCAGAUCCAUGCCCACUCCACACAGCUUGGCUCAAGGAGAUUAAAGUCAUAUAGAUAGAGAUUUUUCAUUACAUGUGCACGCGGCGCGAUGCGUGUCUCAGGUUAAAUCUUGGAGCAAGUUUCUGAGGUGCUUAACCGUCGAUGCUAUGUAUAGAAAACAGAGUAUGUGGCAGACAAGUGUUGUGUUAUUAUUGGCAACAAGCUUUCAUGCGGUGGAGGAAACAACUAGAGGUAGUGCUGCAUGUAGACAGACUAUUUGUGAUUUAUAUCUUCCGGUUGCUGUAACCUGGAGAGGCUUGCAACAUAAUGGCAGUUGAGUCAUGUAUGUUUAUCCCUGCACUCGAGCGACUGGCCUUGGAGGAUUACGCCAUUGAAAAGCUCUACUGUGUUUCAAGCUUGUCGAGGGGGGCAUUUUUUGAAGAUAUGAUGGCAAGGGAUCACACCUUUGUCGACGAGAUCAAGUAGCUGUCGCUGGUAAUGCUGAACUCCAGUGAGUCACCGGUCACCAUAGGAUCCUACCUUGGUGUGAGUGAGUAGACUGUCCCGAUGGUCACUCAGAGGUUUGUUGAGGCUAUGCGGGAGCGAUCAUUGCACCACAUACAGUGGUCAGGCCCCACUAAAAAAAACUGUGAGCAUGAGGAGAAUGAAGGCACACUAAUGCAAGCUGCUGGUGAUAAGGGUGUGAUGUUGAAUGUCAACAAGCUGAAGGUACCAUCUGAUGGUGGAUCAGAAGUCAGUGAAUACAUAAUUGGUGCUCCAAGGUACCAGCUGUGGGCCAGCGGACGAACACGACGGACGGC
rnacentral:rRNA from 1 species